rnacentral:rRNA from 1 species
AACGCGAAGAACCUUACCACCUUUUGACAUGCCUGGACCGCCAGAGAGAUCUGGUUUUCCCUUCGGGGACUAGGACACAGGUGCUGCAUGGCUGUCGUCAGCUCGUGUCGUGUGAUGUUGGGUUAAGUCCCGCAACGAGCGCAACCCUCGCCAUUAGUUGCCAUCAUUUAGUUGGGAACUCUAAUGGGACUGCCGGUGCUAAGCCGGAGGAAGGUGGGGAUGACGUCAAGUCCUCAUGGCCCUUACAGGGUGGGCUACACACGUGCUACAAUGGCGACUACAGAGGGUUAAUCCUUAAAAGUCGUCUCAGUUCGGAUUGUCCUCUGCAACUCGAGGGCAUGAAGUUGGAAUCGCUAGUAAUCGCGGAUCAGCAUGCCGCGGUGAAUACGUUCCCGGGCCUUGUACACACCG